rnacentral:lncRNA from 1 species
CAGAAUAGGUAAAUAAUUAAUUAUAUAACCUUUGUAUUUUUUUGGGGUCAUUAUUAUAACGUAUUAUUAGAACACUAAUUAAAAAAUUAUCUAUUCUUUUUGGGCAUGCAUCGGUGUUAGUAAAAAAUAAUUCAGCCUACUUUAUUAUUUUAAUUAUUUUCUCAUUUACAAACUAAUGAAUUCCAUAUACAUACACACGUGAUUCACAGAGCCCAUCAGCUUCCAGCCAUCCAGAAUUUAUUUUAAUAUGGCUGGCUUACCAAUAUAAAUCAUCAUUUAGCUAUAAGCUUAUUACCUUUAGCUGUCUUUUUCUUUUUCUUUUAUGAACUUUUUCGUUAAUACACACCGUACAAGAGACAAAAAUUUU